CAGAAGUACACAAUGACUUUUGCAUAUUGCAUUGCUAGUGGGAGUAUUUCCUCUAGACCAAGAAAUAAUAUUCACAAUGAGACCAA